UAACAAGGAUUCCCCUAGUAACUGCGAGUGAAGCGGGAAAAGCUCAAAUUUAAAAUCUGGCGGUCUCUGGCCGUCCGAGUUGUAGUCUGGAGAAGCGUCUUCUACGCCGGACCGUGUACAAGUCCCUUGGAACAGGGCGUCAUAGAGGGUGAGAAUCCCGUCCAUGACACGGACCGCCGGCGGUUUGUGAUGCGCUCUCGAAGAGUCGAGUUGUUUGGGAAUGCAGCUCAAAAUGGGUGGUAAAUUCCAUCUAAAGCUAAAUACUGGCGAGAGACCGAUAGCGAACAAGUACCGUGAGGGAAAGAUGAAAAGCACUUUGGAAAGAGAGUUAAACAGUACGUGAAAUUGCUGAAAGGGAAACGCUUGAAGUCAGUCGCGUCGGCCGGGGCUCAGCCUUGCAUUCGUUUGCUCGGUUUACUUCCCGGUCGACGGGCCAGCGUCGAUUUUGACCGUCGGAGAAGGGCCAGAGGAAAGUGGCACCUUCGGGUGUGUUAUAGCCUUCGGUCGCAUACGACGGUCGGGAUCGAGGAACGCAGCACGCCUUCGAUGGCCGGGGCAUUCGUGCCCACGCAUCGUGCUUAGGAUGCUGGCGUAAUGGCUUUAAACGAC
rnacentral:rRNA from 1 species